rnacentral:rRNA from 1 species
UAGCAAUACAGAGUGGCAGACGGGUGAGUAACACGUGGGAACAUGCCCUUCGGUUCGGAAUAAGUCAGGGAAACUUGAGCUAAUACCGGAUACGUCCGCGAGGAGAAAGAUUCAUCGCCGAAGGAUUGGCCCGCGUCUGAUUAGCUAGUUGGUGAGGUAACGGCUCACCAAGGCGACGAUCAGUAGCUGGUCUGAGAGGAUGAUCAGCCACAUUGGGAAUGAGACACGGCCCAAACUCCUACGGGAGGCAGCAGUGGGGAAUAUUGGACAAUGGGCGAAAGCCUGAUCCAGCCAUGCCGCGUGAGUGAUGAAGGCCUUAGGGUUGUAAAGCUCUUUUACCUGGGAAGAUAAUGACGGUACCAGGAGAAUAAGCCCCGGCUAACUUCGUGCCAGCAGCCGCGGUAAUACGAAGGGGGCUAGCGUUGUUCGGAUUUACUGGGCGUAAAGCGCACGUAGGCGGAUUCUUAAGUCAGGGGUGAAAUCCCGAGGCUCAACCUCGGAACUGCCUUUGAUACUGGGGAUCUUGAGUUCGGGAGAGGUGAGUGGAACUGCGAGUGUAGAGGUGAAAUUCGUAAGAUAUUCGCAAGAACACCAGUGGCGAAGGCGGCUC